rfam:Cavia porcellus supercont2_2 genomic scaffold, whole genome shotgun sequence.
AGGGAUAUAGCUCAGCAGCACAGUGCCUGCCUCAAAAGUAGGAGGUCCUGUGUUCGAUUCCUGGUAUCCCCA